UACAAGCAGGGGUAUCAUUUAUAGUUAACUGGUAUAAUCCCUCUGCUGUUUCCAAGAUUGGUGAGGUCUUUGUGUUUUGUCCAGUUUUGGGCAUCAUACUUCAGGGAAGAUCAACUUGAAGACUUUAGAUGGGAAUUACUGAAAUGCUGUGAAAUGCAACACACCAGGAAGGUCCAAGACAGGUCACAACAGAUUAAACACUGGGAAAAGCAGGUGGAGAAUCACUGACAGAAGUUGUAGCUUCACCUAAUGACUUGCUAAAGAAGUUUCUGCAGUGCUCUGCCUUUGCUAUGAGGAGAAACCUAGAAGAGUUCCUUUGCUUCCAGCAUCACUCAGCACAUGAUGAGAAAUAUCCUGGCUCUGUCUUACUAGCUUUAUUCACGCUGAUUUUGUAUAGUUAAUUAAAGGACUACAGCAAACUUGUGUCAUGGGAAACAGGUUGGUGCCUUUUCACCACUGCCUCAUAUUCAGACAAUCAAAGAAAACCAAGAACAAGAGAAAUAUAGUACCAUAUGUUUUCUGUUCAUGUUUUCCUGACUAAGGAAACCAAAUGGCAGGUAGUGGUUUUGGACAUAAUGGCCACUGAUAGUCUGUAUGGGAAGAAGAUGGCAGACUUCACUCAGCUAUGUCAAAGUAGUGUGUAAGUAAUGUGACAGUAUUUGCUGCACUAGUAACAUUUCACUAUGGGAUCAGGAAGGGACCUGGAUAUUCCUCCCAGCAUUAAAUGCUUUGCUACCUGGAUUCUCUUAGCCACACCACAGAGAAAAGAAAGCGGGUUUGUGAUUUUUCUAUUAAUGAUGGGAGAGAACUGAGUUGCUGUGAUUAUUUAGGUGUACACUGUGGUUAAUUCACAUCUCAGGAAUGUCCUCUGAUUACUAUUUUCAUGCACAUUCUUUCACUAAUAAAACAUUCGAGUAUGCCUGUACAUCCACGUUUCGAGGGGGAGUCCGUGAAAUGCCGCCAUUCCCUGCUCUGGUGGCGCCACCUGGCGGCCGGCACGAGCCAUGCAACCGAGCUCGUGCCCGGCGCGACACGCGCUGUGCCUGGGCUGCUGCUCGUUCCCAAGGUAUCGCAACAACCGAAACGAGACAAGCGCUUCUGAGGAAUGCACAGCCUACGGCUCUUUCGUAUAACGGCUUUCAAGCAGUACGAUGAAAUGAAAACGUACCCGAUUAGCACUGAUGGAAGACCCACUUGGCUGGUUGUUCUAAAACCUGCUUUGAAAUCGUACAAUUGCAGUCUCAAUAACAUCCUGCUUGAACUUCUCAUCGCUUUUAUGUCAAACUAGACAAUUCCCUACUAGGCUCCUGCUUUCUCUCACAGCGCUUUUAUUGUGAUCGAGGCCCUUCUUGCAACGCUGAGCAACGAAAUGCUCAGUUCCAGCAGCGUGCUCUCAGCAACGCAUUCGCUGCCGUUGUUCCCCUGCGGUUGUUUGUAGCGCCCUUCAUUGUUCG